rnacentral:lncRNA from 1 species
CUAAAAUCUCCUCCAAUUACAAUAUACAUAACGGUACUGGAAUUUAAAAGGAAGCAUUUAAAGAUGCAUAGAUGAUCUCUCAGAAGUUUUCAACAUUGUUGUGUUUUCCGCAAUUUUGUGAUUCUUAUAUUGCCUCAAGGAACUUAGACACUAUCCUGAAGAUCCUGAGAAGGUUAAACUGAGAGGUGAAGCACC